ensembl:lncRNA
UGUAAUUAAUUGAAGGGGUAAGCAUCUCUACCUCCUCUCCAUGUGGUCUGAUAUAUAUACAAAGCAACCUACACAACAUUCAUGAUACAUAUUUGAGUUGCAUGCAUUCCAAAAGCUGGAGCUGUGCAAAGUAUGGACUUACUUAAAGAUGUACUUUAAGCUUGAAUUUCUUCAGUAGCAGGAAAAUCCCUUAUUAUGGAAUUUAUGUAAUGAUUAAAUGCAUACAUUUUCCAACGAGUUAUUUUUUAUAUUAUUAAUUGAACAAGUUCAAUAAUAAAUGAAUAAGACAUUGACAGCACUGUUUGCAGCGUCAUUCAAUUUUAUGUAACAGAGAACAUUUCUCCCAAAAUAAAUCUAGGGCAUAACACAAUAACAUACAGGCUCAUUAUUCUAUGAGCACUUAUAACUAAAACAUCUAUCAUACAUUUGAGAGUGUGUUCAAGUACAAUACAUCCCUUCAGUAGAUUCAUAAAAGAUUACGGACAUGAAGAAUUUGUAAAUGCAUCCUGUUUGAAUGAUUAAUACAACGAAACUGCAGGCCACUUAAAAAUAAGUGAGCCUUCUGAGGUCAUGUGACUAACACGGUGUCUUACUGGGACAGGGUUGAUGGAGUCAUGACUUUUCACUCCAGUGCAUCGCUGCGUUGUCUGUCAGUUUGAACAUGACUGAAUGACGGCUAUUUACGUGCCCUAAGGGACAGUAUUGUAUGGCAGGGGCCAGACCACAAGCACAGGGUCCACUGAAUUAAAAGCCUGUCCAAAAGGGGAUUUCUGCCACUGUAGAAUCCUUUUAAAAACAACAUCUAUAAACUAAUACUUGCCUCUAAAUAAAGUCAUAAACUGUUAUGUUAGUAGGUUAAGAAUAUCCCUACAGGAUAGUUUUGUUUUUGUUCAGGAAUGAUGUCUUGUAGCAUUUCAUAGAAAGUAUAUGCAUUAUAUAAUUAUAUAAACACACAAAAUGUACAGUGAGCUGCAUAAAAUAAUUUACCCCAAACCACCAAGUUGUUUAGAUGUGCAAUAACUAAAGGUAAAAAAAAAAAAGAAGUAAAAUAAAAAAUCAUUUGGAGCUUUUAUGGUUGAUGGGGCCAAAUGCUACUCUAAACAGUCGGUCUUGUGAAUGUAACAUAUCGCUGCAUUAAAUAACUGCUGGUGAGCAGACAGUGUAUUGACAACACACAGGCCAACACAUCCGCAAAUGUCACCUAUAAGACCAUAAGC